GUUUAAGUCGGGCCGUGGUAUAGGCCGGUUCUCUGGAGCAUCUCUUGGAAUAACUACAGUGGAUAUUAAUAAUAUCAUAUGGGGCUGAAUCAAGCAAGGUUAUGUACAAGCAAGGUUGAAAGGUCUCCAGUGUUAUUUAUCAUCCAUUCAGGAUUUAUAUUUCGGGAACAAUUCGAGGGUGCGUCAGCUGGAAUUGCAGUUUACGGUAAAUCAAUUCUGGCCAGAAACGGACAAAGAUUUAAUAAAACGAAGAUUUAUCGCUGAUCUAUGGUCUGGUGGGUAUACAGGCGCUUGACGAUAAUUCCCUCUGUGAAGCGAGCCACAAAUAAAACCAUAUUGGACAGAAUGAAUAAAACUUAGAAGUUAUGUUUACCAUUAAAAACAGAAAACUUGAUUUUCUCGGACAUUACGUAACUUGAGCAGCGACGAAUGCUACCGAGUUUUGCAGGGUGCAUUAUUUUUGUCGUGGUGUAUAUGGGGUUGCUGCACGCGUAGUCAUAGUAGGCCGCGGUAUGGAGGACAACAAUACGAAAGUCAGUUUUUU